rnacentral:rRNA from 1 species
CUUUUUCAGCCGGUUCCUUUCCUAACUCCUCUCGCCGCCGCCGCCGACCUCCUCGGCUCCUCCCUUCGCUGCCGCGCCUCCCUCUCCGUCCUCCUCCUAGGCAGGUGCUGCUAUCUGGCACCACUCUCGCCGAUUGGACCCACUUCUAGCGACCCGCCCAGCUCGACAAGUAGGGUACGUGUCUCUCUGCUCUGCCACACUUCUCAUCCCGGUUUGAUUGUUCCAGCCUACAGAGUAGAAGCGGCAGAUCAAAAUAAACUCCAUGGCUAGGUCUGGUUGCCUGUCUGCCUGAUGGAUUCAUGGAUGCUUUUAGCCACUAAAUUGGCUCUGUUUAUUGGGGAAAAGUUUUCACCCAAAAUAGUGAGUUGCUCUAACAGAGGCCUCCAGUGGCUUACUGGUUAGGUUCUGGUGGAGUGAUCUCCUGCACUCAGCCGUGUGGAUCCGACCAAGAAAUAAUCAAUUAACAGAGGGUUGUGUGCCACUGGCCACAUCUAGGAGUGGUUGCCGUCAUUUUUGUUGCCUUGUGUUCGGUACUUUGUUACAGAGCAGCAGUCCAAUAUUUAGGAUGAGCGACAUAUGGUUUGCAUAAGUAAUGCCAAAUAUAAGUGGCCAAGAGUGACUUUAUGCACAGCGAUGAUUGUGUAUAAAAUGCUAAUGUAUCGCGUACGCGUAGGCUAAUUCAACCCUGAAGAAAGAGUGUUGGCGUACAGGACUGUGAAUGUCAACUUUUCUGUUUUGAAACAUUGAUAGCUCAUUUGCGUGCGCAAUUUAUAAUCAGAGCUAUGAAUCAAGAAAUCUAAGGGAAAAUCAUGAUGAAAAAUGAAAAGCUGUAGGUACAAUGUGGUAAGAUAGUUUGUCUAUAUACUGUUACUGCAGCUGAAGCAAAAUUAUGGCCUCAUUUGUUUAGCAUUUCAAAUCUUGAAAGCAUGGAAAUAAAGGAAACUGCAAGUUCAUCACCCUUCUUGCUAACUAUUUAGUUUAAUUUUGCUACGUUCUAAUGCACUGCCAGUUUACAGUAGAGUAGAGUCUUGACACUUUCCCUCUUUUCUGCUGAGCCAUCCAAAGUUUAUUAUCCAUUGCUUGCUCAAGCUGAGUCAUGGAAUGCUUGCAGCAAUGAGCACAGCCGUGGAUGCUUCAGUGCCUGUCGCCGAGCAGGAGGAUGGUGCUGCGAAUAUCUUGGCUGGGAAGAAAGUUGCAGUUGUAUUUGUUCUAGGUGGUCCUGGAAGUGGAAAAGGUACACAAUGUAGCAAUAUUGUGGAGCAUUUCGGAUUUACACAUCUUAGCGCUGGAGAGCUGUUGCGCUCAGAAAUCAAGUCUGGUUCUGAGAAUGGAACCAUGAUUGACAGCAUUAUAAAGGAAGGGAAAAUUGUUCCAUCUGAGAUAACCGUAAAGCUCUUACAAGAAGCAAUGGUAAAAAGUGAAAAUGACAAAUUCCUCAUUGAUGGAUUUCCAAGGAAUCAAGAAAACCGUCUGUCAUUUGAGAAUGUUAUAAAAAUAUCUCCUGAGUUUGUGCUAUUCUUCGACUGUUCUGAGGAAGAGAUGGUAAGGCGUCUUCUGGGUCGCAAUCAGGGAAGAGCUGACGAUAACGUUGAGACUAUCAGGAAAAGAUUCAGAGUUUUUGAAGAAUCAAGUUUGCCUGUAGUUCAGUACUAUGACUCUAAGGGCAAGGUUAAGAAGAUUAAUGCUGCAAAACCAAUCCUUGAGGUGUUUGAAGAUGUGAAAACCAUUUUUCAGUCCUAUGGCCCAAAGGCCGCAUAGAUGCGCUCAUGCAAAAAUAUGUGAUUCAUUAAAACGGUGACCCCAGAAGUACCGAAGGAAAAGGCUGGAGCUCACGGCGCGCUACCCUGCCAGCAUGCCACUAGAUAGUCGUUCAUCAUCUGAUUUAUAAGUAUUUCUGAUCUUUAUUAGUGAGUAGAGGGGAACUGGAGCACAUAUCAGUUCACCUGUGUGCCCACCUCGCUGCCGCAACGAACCAUCCCCUUCGUUACUAUCGUCAAGUUAUGUAGUCUUUGUUAUGGACAUGGUUAAUGAUAUCUUGUCAGGAAAAAAGAUUGCAAUUAAUCAUUCGGCCACAUCACUUGUCGUUUGUGAUUCAG